rnacentral:rRNA from 1 species
CCUACGGGUGGCAGCAGUGGGGAAUAUUGGACAAUGGGCGAAAGCCUGAUCCAGCCAUGCCGCGUGUGUGAAGAAGGCCUUCGGGUUGUAAAGCACUCUCAGUGGGGAAGAAAGCCUUGGGGCUAAUACCCUCGAGGAAGGACAUCACCCACAGAAGAAGCACCGGCUAACUCCGUGCCAGCAGCCGCGGUAAUACGGAGGGUGCGAGCGUUAAUCGGAAUUACUGGGCGUAAAGCGCGCGUAGGCGGUCUGAUAAGCCGGUUGUGAAAGCCCCGGGCUCAACCUGGGAACGGCAUCCGGAACUGUCAGGCUAGAGUGCAGGAGAGGAAGGUAGAAUUCCCGGUGUAGCGGUGAAAUGCGUAGAGAUCGGGAGGAAUACCAGUGGCGAAGGCGGCCUUCUGGACUGACACUGACGCUGAGGUGCGAAAGCGUGGGUAGCAAACAGGAUUAGAUACCCUUGUAGUC